UACGGAGGGUGCGAGCGUUGUCCGGAAUCACUGGGCGUAAAGGGCGCGUAGGUGGCGUCGCAAGUCAACGGUGAAAGCUCGACGCUCAACGUCGAGUCGGCCGUCGAGACUGCGAGGCUUGAGCACUGUAGAGGCAGGCGGAAUUCCGGGUGUAGCGGUGGAAUGCGUAGAGAUCCGGAAGAACACCGGUGGCGAAGGCGGCCUGCUGGGCAGUUUUGCUGGACACUGGAGGCGCGACAGCGUGGGGAGCAAACAGG
rnacentral:rRNA from 1 species